AUAACUCGUUUUUUAAAUAUGUGCUAUAGUGAGAAGCACAUCUGAUCAUAGUUUAAAUCAUAUAAAAGUAGCAAGCAAACUCAUAAAACACAUCAAACUCAUCGAUGACCUCUACAUAUCUCAUAACAAAUCAUCAUCUGAUCAUAUCCCAUAACAAAUCAAUAAAACACACAUUCAGUUUUGCAAGAGACAAGUUACCUUGUGUGUCAGUACAGAAACGCUCUCUCACUUCAGCUACUCUUGUCUGUCAAGUGUCAAGGACUCGAACCUACUCUUGCCUGUUACAAAAAAACAAAACCAUUAAGUUACAUAUCUCAAACGCAAUACAAACGGAUAGAACGAAACUCAAAGAAUCAAUCCAUAUCUACACAAGAACAGAUACAAACAAACCCAUAUCAGUAAACUUGAACCGAUCUCAAAUCUCAUAAAACCCAAUCUCAGAUUCGAAAAUCACAAACAAAAAUCCAUCUCAGAUAAAAAAAAAACCCAACUCAAAUCUCAAACAA
rnacentral:lncRNA from 1 species